GAACAGCCCCAGGGGAAAUUCAGUUUUCUCGAGUGCAGAAUAUAUUAGUUCAAGUAUAUGUAUAAUAGCAUCAUUAGUACUUUUUUUCGGUCUGAACCCAAACUGACAAGGGUUGAGUAUGUUGUGGGAUACGAAGUAGAAGUAGACUUGUUUGUGUAUUAAUUUUUCGAAGAUUUUAGAUAGUAAGGGGAGGUUUGAUACAGGCCUAUAAUUGUUUAAUUCAGUUGGAUCACCUCCUUUGAGGAUCGGGGUGACUCUUGCUGUCUUGAGUAUGGAUGGGAAGGUGGAAGAUUUAGUGGAUAUCUUAGAGUUGCAAUAAUUGGUGACACAUGAAGUUUUUUUUAUACGAGUUGUGACACAAUUAAACAAAAUAAAGGUAGCUUUGCCAUUUCUGAGGUACGUAUUAGAAAGAAUUCUACUCAAGACAAUCGACCCUGUCAUCACAUAGCACCAAGAGCUACUUCACUACUACUACCACUGUUGCUACUACACUACUACUACUGCUGCUACUACUACACUACUACUGCUGCUGCUGCUACUACAUGGUGUUGAGUGCAACCGGUCGCCGUUUGAUGUAAUAAAAGCUGUCGCCUGCAAAAAGAAUUGGUUUAAGUCUCUGUGAAGCAUUAGGAAGGUCAGUGAUGAACAGUAGACAAGGAGGAGCAGAGGGUCUAGGAACCACUUUGAUUGAUCAGGUUGCUGAACAACAGUCAUUAAUGGUCACAUGUCGAUGUCUGUCACUCAGGCCACCGUACCUUGGUGGGGAACAGCCAAUAUGUUAAUAAAAAAGAAUAUUGAGGAUAUGAAGCAAAUCAGACGAGGUAUUCACAGGUGAUCACAUAGAAACCCAAUAUGCCAGUUUCUUCAAUAAAAUGGCAAAUUAGGACAUGCACAGCCCAAAGCUAAUUCAAGCCAUCCACUAAGAAAC